UGAGGUAGUGUUUCGAAUGUCUCCGAGGAAUCACCUUGGGUGGCGGUCCCGCGCCGCUUCUCUCG
rnacentral:pre_miRNA from 1 species